rnacentral:rRNA from 1 species
GCACAGGCGGUGGAGCAUGUGGUUUAAUUCGAAGCAACGCGAAGAACCUUACCAGGUCUUGACAUCCCGAUGCUAUUUCUAGAGAUAGAAAGUUACUUCGGUACAUCGGUGACAGGUGGUGCAUGGUUGUCGUCAGCUCGUGUCGUGAGAUGUUGGGUUAAGUCCCGCAACGAGCGCAACCCCUAUUGUUAGUUGCCAUCAUUCAGUUGGGCACUCUAGCGGGACUGCCGGUAAUAAACCAGAGGAAGGUGGGGAUGACGUCAAAUCAUCAUGCCCCUUAUGACCUGGGCUACACACGUGCUACAAUGGUUGGUACAACGAGUUGCGAGUCGGUGACGGCGAGCUAAUCUCUUAAAGCCAAUCUCAGUUCGGAUUGUAGGCUGCAACUCGCCUACAUGAAGUCGGAAUCGCUAGUAAUCGCGGAUCAGCACGCCGCGGUGAAUACGUUCCCGGGCCUU